rnacentral:lncRNA from 1 species
AUUUAUCCACCUAAUCUUGAUUGGUACUUGUAUAUUUUCUUAAAAUGUUUUUCUCAUACUCUAUCACCGCCUAAGUCUGUAUGUAUGUGAAUAAUCACACACACAUAUAUAUAUAUAUAUAUACGAGCACACACAAUCACGUGAAGCAAAGACUCUGGACGAUGGAGGGUGCCGUCACAGAUCAUGGCCAAAUAGAAAGGCAUCCAGGACCCGCCAUAGCCACUAUCCUUAAGGAUGGAUGCAUCCUGCGU